rnacentral:rRNA from 1 species
AACGAAGAAAUGGUGUUAGCAAUACACAUGGUACAGGUGGGCCGAACGGGUGAGGAUUACAUGGGUAACCUACCCUCGAGUGGGGAAUAACUAGCCGAAAGGUUAGCUAAUACCGCGUACGCUUCCGGGACUGCGGGUUCCGGAAGGAAAGCGAUACCGUGGGUAUCGGCGGCUCUUGGAUGGGCUCAUGCCCUAUCAGCUUGUUGGGGAGGUAACGGCUCACCAAGGCUUCGACGGGUAGGCUGGAUCUGAGAGGAUGAUCAGGCCACACUGGGACUGCGACACGGGCCAGACUCCUACGGGAGGCAGCAGUAAGGAAUAUUGCGCAAAUGGGCGAAAGCCUGACGCAGCGACCCCGCGUGGGGGAUGAAGGUCUUCGGAUUUGUAAACCCCUUUCGGGAGGGAAGAUGGGAUGGGGGUAACCCAUUCGGACGGUACCUCCAGAA